GAUGAAGAACGCAGCGAAAUGCGAUAAGUAAUGUGAAUUGCAGAAUUCAGUGAAUCAUCGAAUCUUUGAACGCACCUUGCGCCCUUUGGCUAUUCCGAAGGGCAUGCCUGUUUGAGUAUCAUGAACACCUCAACUCUCAUGGUUUGCCAUGAUGAGCUUGGACUUUGGGGGUCUUGCCGGCCUAUGGGUCGGCUCCUCUCAAAUUAAUCAGCUUGCCAGUGUUUGGUGGCAUCACAGGUGUGAUAACUAUCUACGCUUGUGGUUUUCCAUCAGGUAACCUUCAGUGAUGGAGGUUCGCUGGGGCUCAUAAAUGUCUCUCCUCAGUGAGGACAGCUUUUUUGAACGUUUGAUCUCAAAUCAGGUAGGACUACCCGCUGAACUUAAGCGUAUCAAUAAGCGGAGGA
rnacentral:misc_RNA from 1 species